GGGUGAUUAGCUCAGCUGGUAGAGCACCUGACUCUUAAUCAGGGUGUCGCGGGUUCGAAUCCCUCAUCACCCACCA
rnacentral:tRNA from 1 species